GUGAUCUUUAUCUAUUUUUAUAGUAGUGUAAGGCAAGUUUCGUUGCUGUUACCGGUUAAGAAUAUCAAGAUGAUUAAGAGAGAGUCGAAGAUAUACUCCUUUAUUGUAUACAAUUAAGACGAUAAUACCUUCAAAGUUUCCAGCAUUCAACUGGUUUCAAAUUUCCUUGAUAUGUUACACCACUUCAUGGACAAAUGCAGGUUAGUUUCCUACAAGCAAAGCCUAUUCCUUAAUAUUCUUUUAAAGGCUUUCUUCUAUUCUCAAGGAAACCAACUUUCUGUUUGGUUUCGUUUUCCAAAUCUAUUUUCUAAAAAACACUAAAAACUAAUUUGGGGAAAAAUAAUGAAAAAUUCAAAAACACUAGAAUGUCCAUCACUGAUGUUAGUUAUGAGAUAAGAAUAAUAACAAUAGAACUUAUUGCAGAAUACUAUGAUCUCCUAAGCUACUAUACCAACAUAUCAUGACCAACAUGCAGUUGCACAAUGUUCAAAAAUUUCUCUCUGCGAAUGAACUAUCAAUGGAGGAACUCUAGAUUGUCUUUUUAACGUCAGGAAUCAAUUCCUGUUACUCAACUUGUAAGGGAAACUGCUACUGUUAUGCAGGAGUUCACAUAGUCAGGAAUUGUAACAUGUGAGGUGCAUUUGCCUAAUAGAUGGUUCAGAUGAUGGUUCAGAUGCUGAGUAUGAGCCCAAUAAUAGUAGUGAUGAUGAUGAUGGUGAUGACUAGUUUUGAAGACUUUUUGGAUAUGAUACAGUUUGGAUGGUUUUUAACUUUUUGGAUAAUUUAGAAUUUAAGGAUAGUUCUUUUGGAUGGUUUUGAACGUACGGUUAAUUUUUAAAUGUUUGGAAUGUAUUGACAAUUUUUGAAUGUUCAUAAUUUAUGGAUGUAGUUUAUUUUUUA